rnacentral:rRNA from 1 species
CAGCCGCCACGGUAACACGUAGGUGGCAAGCGUUGUCCGGAAUUAUUGGGCGUAAAGGGCUCGCAGGCGGUUUCUUAAGUCUGAUGUGAAAGCCCCCGGCUCAACCGGGGAGGGUCAUUGGAAACUGGGAAACUUGAGUGCAGAAGAGGAGAGUGGAAUUCCACGUGUAGCGGUGAAAUGCGUAGAGAUAUGGAGGAACACCAGUGGCGAAGGCGACUCUCUGGUCUGUAACUGACGCUGAGGAGCGAAAGCGUGGGGAGCGAACAGGAUUAGAUACCCCAGUAGUCCCUGUCUCUUAUAC